UACGGAGGAGGCUAGCGUUGUUCGGAAUUACUGGGCGUAAAGCGUGCGUAGGCGGUUGUUUAAGAUGAGUGUGAAAGCCCGGAGCUCAACUCCGGAACUGCGCUCAUGACUGGACAGCUUGAGUCCGAGAGAGGUGAGUGGAAUUCCCAGUGUAGAGGUGAAAUUCGUAGAUAUUGGGAAGAACACCAGUGGCGAAGGCGGCUCACUGGCUCGGUACUGACGCUGAUGCACGAAAGCGUGGGGAGCAAAC
rnacentral:rRNA from 1 species